UUUUAGGUGACCGAGUCAAGUUUCUAGGUCCUUCUUCAUCUGCAAUUUUGUCUCUUUAAGGCCCACCACUUAGGGGACCAACCAUUGGUUUCCAGGGAAAAGUAGUCCUUGCUUUGAUAUUGGAUUCGAUAGGCCUGUGCCCGAUGGCAAUUGAUCUUGGUGGCUUCUGCCAAGAGGCCCCUUAUCUCAUGUCACAAACCAUUCUUCAGUGUGAUUUAAUAACUUAAAGUCGUUGAAGAUUCAACUGUAGAUUUGUUGAUACUUUCCUUCUACUUAGAAGGAGCUAAAAAAAGGGAGAGACUCUGGGUAAUUGUUUCAGGUCUUGAUAUGGAUGUUUACAUGAUAGCAAGUUUUUCUUGAAAACACUUUGGAAACGUAACAAACUCAAUUUUUCCUUCAAGUUUGCUGUGACAUGCAACAGAUGUUGACGGUUUGGAAAACGAGAA